ACACGUGAGCGGAUCUUGUUUUCAAACUUCUUCUGAGCUGGAGAGGUGCACUGUCUUGACUAACGUGCAGACCCUAGAGUUUCAGCACCACGUAAAGCUGACAUCGAGAGCACACAGCCUUAAUCCCAGAACUCGGGAGAUAGAAGCAGGGCAGAGGAAUGACUCCAGAGACCCGAACCACGAAAGCUGAAUCUUCAUGCAACCAGGAUCAGCAAGUCUCACCCGCCACUCAGGCAGCUGGCACACUCUUGUAGCAUCCUCAAUUCCUGCUGCUUCUGGAUUCUCUCCGCGGACGGAGGCUCCCCUCGGCGCCUGGCGAUGGUGUGGCGUUUUUUAUCCCGGGUUCUCGGCACCAAAUGUCCCACGCGCAACCUCACCAGCAAGAAAACACGCGGGGACAUACGAAUCCUUGCGGCAGCCAAAACCUUUUAUUAAUCUUAAGGAGAGCCCCUACAUCAGUCUUACAAUGGAAGGUACACAAGACUGAAAUCAGACAGCCUCCUCUCUAACCCAUCCAUAAGAUCUUAAGCAUCAUUAAUAGGUCUCUUUAAGUCUCGGGUCCUCAGUCUGAUACAUGAAGAUAAUCUAGCAUUCUCUCAAAGAUUUAAGGAGCUAAAUUAUGCAAAGUACUGAGAGUAUCCAACUGCCAGGAAGUGCUGAGGAGGUAAUUGUUCUGAGAGAAGCAACAUUAGGAACAGGAUGUGUUUUUACCUUCAAGGAUAAUGAAAGUAGAAAUGCAUUCAGAAUCCAAGCCUGGGCAGGGA
rnacentral:lncRNA from 14 species